rnacentral:rRNA from 1 species
UACGGAAGGCAGCAGUGGGGAAUAUUGCACAAUGGGCGAAAGCUUGAUGCAGCUAUGCCGCGUGUAUGAAGAAGGCCUUAGGGUUGUAAAGUACUUUCAUCGGGGAGGAAAAAACAAAACUAAUAAUUUUAUUUCUUGACGUUACCCGAAAAAGAAGCACCGGCUAACUCCGUGCCAGCAGCCGCGGUAAUACGGAGGGUGCUAGCGUUAAUCAGAAUUACUGGGCGUAAAGAGCACGUAGGUGGUUUUUUAAGUCAGAUGUGAAAUCCCUGGGCUUAACCUAGGAACUGCAUUUUGAAACUGAAAUACUAGAGUAUCGUAGAGGGAGGUAGAAUUCUAGGUGUAGCGGUGAAAUGCGUAGAUAUCUGGAGGAAUACCUGUGGCGAAAGCGGCCUCCUAAACGAAUACUGACACUGAGGGUGCGAAAGCGUGGGGAGCAAACAGGGAUUAGAUACC